rnacentral:rRNA from 1 species
AUUGAACGCUGGCGGCAGGCCUAACACAUGCAAGUCGAGCGGAGCGGCGGACGGGUGAGUAAUGCCUAGGAAUCUGCCUGGUAGUGGGGGAUAACGUCCGGAAACGGGCGCUAAUACCGCAUACUAUCAGAUGAGCCUAGGUCGGAUUGGCUAGUUGGUUGGGUAAAGGCCUACCAGGGCGACGAUCCGUAACUGGUCUGAGAGGAUGAUCAGUCACACUGGAACUGAGACACGGCCAAGACGCCUACGGGAGGCAGAAGUGGGGAAUAUUGGCAAAUGAGCGAAAGCCUGAUCCAGCCAUGCCGCGUGUGUGAAGAAGGUCUUCGGAUUGUAAAGCACUUUUGUUGGGAAAGCGGUACCCAAAGAAUAAGCACCGGCUAACUUCGUGCCAGCAGCCGCGGUAAUAC